rnacentral:piRNA from 1 species
CAUUACGAUUCAUAACAGCAAAA